ensembl:lncRNA
GGAUCGGUUACCCCUGAAGAUAUUACAAGCUCCAAAAUGAAUCACAUUCAUUUCUCACCGUGCACAAGAUGACAGGAGUGAGACCCAGUUUGAGGGCCGAAUCUCUUCACAACCAUUCACAUGGAAGUGAAGGAUCACAGAGUGAUGUCCAUUCCUGUGACCCGUUGUUAAAGCAUGAGACUCCCUAUUGAUAUCAGAGAUAUUAUCAGCAUCUUAAAGGUCAGUCGUGACGUUCUCUUCUUCCAUGUUUCAUCAGUAUAUGGUAAAGGUGAAGUGUGAUUAUUAUUAUUUUCUUUUUGUUAUGCAGCGACGACUGUAACUGUUAGUUAUUUACCUCCAAAAGUUUGAGUCUGCAUUAGUUUGCAAUCCUGACCAGCCCAACACAACUACAUAAACUUAGACAAUGCCAGAAGUUUACAGUGGGACUGUCUGUUUGUCUGACCAAUGGAAGACGAGCUGUCAGUUCUGGAUCAGUGAGAGAGGCCAGAUGGCAUCAAGCGGAGGGAUCACCCUUUCUCUCUUUCUCUCUGUUCUCUUUCCCUCUCUCUGUCUUUCUCUUUGCCCUGAGCUGAACUGUGCUGGACUGCCAGUUCUGUUCUGGCUUCAGCUUUCUGUGCAGGGCAGCUGAGUUCCCUUUUGGUCUCCUUUGGUGAUGUGAAGCCCCUUGCCCUCUUAUCAUUCUGCUAGCUCCUCACUCCAGUUCAUUUUCAAUGCCUCUUCUCUUCUGUCUCACAGUGAGCUCUCACAGCUCACACUCGGUCUCUCGGCCUCCUACAGAGAGAUCCAUUGACUCGGCCCUGCAAGAACAGUAGUACUGCGGGCUGCUAGGAGCAUCUGCACACACUGAUUAAUGAGCUGCUGUGCUUGGAGGUGCUAAUACGCUAAAAUGAAGGCAGAAUUAAAGUAUUGCAAAGCUUCUAUCAAUAAUGGAAAGAACAAAUUGGAUCCAGCAAUGUUUACUGGAGGGUAAGGAUGGCGCUGUGUUUUCCAACCUGGGGGUCACCAAGCAUUCUUGAUUUUUGGUGUACUGAUUAUAAUUUUAGCCACAAAUAAUUUUCAGUGUAAGAGAGGUUUUUCCUAGCUGACUGAGAAAAAAAAUAAAAUAAAUUAAGUUAAAAAAUUAAAUUAAGUUACAAUCAGGAAUCGAUUGGAUCGGGAAAAUUGACAAGCAUGUUUUUCUUUGGAAUAAUCAAGAAAUCACUCACAAUUAGUAUUGAGAAACAGGUUUAUUGUCAUAAAACUAACACACAAAAAAAAAAAAAAUCUUUAAAUGUGAACAGAAAAAAAAAUAUAUAUAUAUUCUAAUUUUUGUUUAAACUGAAGAAUUAAAAUAACUAAAACAAAACAAACUAAAAUUAAUAAUAAUUAAUAAAUGCUAUUCUGACAUAAUAAAAAAACAACAAAACAUGACAAAAUUAAUAAAAUUACCUAAAAUUUAAGAGAAAACUAAACUUAAUACAUAAAAA